rnacentral:rRNA from 1 species
CAGUAGCCGCGGUAAUACGUAGGUCCCGAGCGUUGUCCGGAUUUAUUGGGCGUAAAGCGAGCGCAGGCGGUUAGAUAAGUCAGAAGUUAAAGGCUGUGGCUUAACCAUAGUAUGCUUUGGAAACUGUUUAACUUGAGUGCAAGAGGGGAGAGUAGAAUUCCAUGUGUAGCGGUGAAAUGCGUAGAUAUAUGGAGGAACACCGGUGGCGAAAGCGGCUCUCUGGCUUGUAACUGACGCUGAGGCUCGAAAGCGUGGGGAGCAAACAGGAUUAGAUACCCCUGUAGUCCCUGUCUCUUAUACA